rnacentral:tRNA from 1 species
GCACUGUUAGCUCAAUUGGAUAGAGCACCUGACUACGAAUCAGGAGGUUGGGGGUUCGAUUCCCUCACAGUGUACCA